rnacentral:rRNA from 1 species
UUAGUGGGCGGACGGGUGAGUAACGCGUGGGCAACCUGCCUUACACAGGGGGAUAACACUUAGAAAUAGGUGCUAAAACCGCAUAAGCGCACAGCUUCGCAUGAAGCGGUGUGAAAAACUCCGGUGGUGUAAGAUGGACCCGCGUCUGAUUAGCUUGUUGGUGGGGUAACGGCCCACCAAGGCGACGAUCAGUAGCCGGCCUGAGAGGGCGGACGGCCACAUUGGGACUGAGACACGGCCCAGACUCCUACGGGAGGCAGCAG